rnacentral:rRNA from 1 species
AGAGUUUGAUCCUGGCUCAGAUUGAACGCUGGCGGCAUGGCUAAGACAUGCAAGUCGAGCGCGAAAGUCCCUUCGGGGGCGAGUAGAGCGGCGUAAGGGUGAGUAAUGCGUUCCUACGUACCCCUAGGUCGGGGAUAGUCCGGGGAAACCCGGAGUAAUACCCGAUGUGGUCUCCGGAUCAAAGACUUCGGUCGCCAAGGGAGCGGGGAACGUCCUAUCAGGUUGUUGGUGAGGUAACUGCUCACCAAGCCAUAGACGGGUAGCGGGUGUGAGAGCAUGGCCCGCCACAUCGGGACUGAGACACUGCCCGGACUCCUACGGGAGGCUGCAGUAACGAAUAUUCCGCAAUGCGCGAAAGCGUGACGGAGCAAUGCCGCGUGCAGGAUGAAGCCCUUCGGGGUGUAAACUGCUGUCAGGGUAUAGGAACACAAUGACCAUACCCAAAGGAAGGGCCGGCUAACUUCGUGCCAGCAGCCGCGGUAAUACGAAGGGCUCGAGCGUUAAUCGGAAUCAUUGGGCUUAAAGCGUACGCAGGCGGACGCGCAGGCAUCUUGUGAAAUCCCUCGGCUCAACCGAGGAACUGCUUGGUGAACCGCGUGUCUUGAGGCAAGUAGGGGCUGUCGGAACGCUAGGUGGAGUGGUGAAAUGCGUUGAUAUCUAGCGGAGCGCCGAAGGAGAAAUCAGGCAGCUGGGCUUGUU